AGCGAACGCUGGCGGCAGGCUUAACACAUGCAAGUCGAGCGGGCGUAGCAAUACGUCAGCGGCAGACGGGUGAGUAACGCGUGGGAACGUACCUUUUGGUUCGGAACAACACAGGGAAACUUGUGCUAAUACCGGAUAAGCCCUUACGGGGAAAGGAUUAUCGCCGAAAGAUCGGCCCGCGUCUGAUUAGCUAGUUGGUGAGGUAACGGCUCACCAAGGCGACGAUCAGUAGCUGGUCUGAGAGGAUGAUCAGCCACAUUGGGACUGAGAUACGGCCCAGACUCCUACGGGAGGCAGCAGUGGGGAAGUCUUGCGCAAUGGGCGAAAGCCUGACGCAGCGACGCCGCGUGAGGGA
rnacentral:rRNA from 1 species